rnacentral:rRNA from 1 species
ACAGAUGGACCCGCGGCGCAUUAGCUAGUUGGUGAGGUAACGGCUCACCAAGGCGACGAUGCGUAGCCGACCUGAGAGGGUGAUCGGCCACACUGGGACUGAGACACGGCCCAGACUCCUACGGGAGGCAGCAGUAGGGAAUCUUCCGCAAUGGACGAAAGUCUGACGGAGCAACGCCGCGUGAGUGAUGAAGGGUUUCGGAUCGUAAAGCUCUGUUGUUAGGGAAGAACAAGUGCCGUUCAAAUAGGGCGGCACCUUGACGGUACCUAACCAGAAAGCCACGGCUAACUACGUGCCAGCAGCCGCGGUAAUACGUAGG